AGCGAACGCUGGCGGCAGGCCUAACACAUGCAAGUCGAACGGAUCCUUCGGGAUUAGUGGCGGACGGGUGAGUAACACGUGGGAACGUGCCCUUUGGUUCGGAACAACUCAGGGAAACUUGAGCUAAUACCGGAUGUGCCCGUCGGGGGAAAGAUUUAUCGCCAUUGGAGCGGCCCGCGUCUGAUUAGCUAGUUGGUGAAGUAAAGGCUCACCAAGGCGACGAUCAGUAGCUGGUCUGAGAGGAUGAUCAGCCACAUUGGGACUGAGACACGGCCCAAACUCCUACGGGAGGCAGCAGUGGGGAAUCUUGCGCAAUGGGCGAAAGCCUGACGCAGCCAUGCCGCGUGAAUGAUGAAGGUCUUAGGAUUGUAAAAUUCUUUCACCGGGGACGAUAAUGACGGUACCCGGAGAAGAAGCCCCGGCUAACUUCGUGCCAGCCGCCGCGGUAA
rnacentral:rRNA from 1 species